AAUCUAUCCUUGAAUGGGGGACAACCGUGGGAAACUACGGCUAAUACCGCAUGAUGCCUGAGGGCCAAAGACGAAAGUCGUUUGAGGAGGAGCCUGCGUCUGAUUAGGUAGUUGGUGGGGUAAAGGCCUACCAAGCCUGCGAUCAGUAGCUGGUCUGAGAGGAUGAUCAGCCACAUUGGGACUGAGACACGGCCCAAACUCCUACGGGAGGCAGCAGUGGGGAAUAUUGGACAAUGGGCGAAAGCCUGAUCCAGCAAUGCCGCGUGUGUGAAGAAGGUCUUCGGAUUGUAAAGCACUUUUGGCAGGGACGAUGAUGACGGUACCUGCAGAAUAAGCCCCGGCUAACUUCGUG
rnacentral:rRNA from 1 species